rnacentral:rRNA from 1 species
GACGAACGCUGGCGGCGUGCCUAAUACAUGCAAGUAGAACGCUGAAGAGAGGAGCUUGCUCUUCUUGGAUGAGUUGCGAACGGGUGAGUAACGCGUAGGUAACCUGCCUUGUAGCGGGGGAUAACUAUUGGAAACGAUAGCUAAUACCGCAUAACAAUGGAUGACACAUGUCAUUUAUUUGAAAGGGGCAAUUGCUCCACUACAAGAUGGACCUGCGUUGUAUUAGCUAGUAGGUGAGGUAAUGGCUCACCUAGGCGACGAUACAUAGCCGACCUGAGAGGGUGAUCGGCCACACUGGGACUGAGACACGGCCCAGACUCCUACGGGAGGCAGCAGUAGGGAAUCUUCGGCAAUGGGGGCAACCCUGACCGAGCAACGCCGCGUGAGUGAAGAAGGUUUUCGGAUCGUAAAGCUCUGUUGUAAGUCAAGAACGGGUGUGAGAGUGGAAAGUUCACACUGUGACGGUAGCUUACCAGAAAGGGACGGCUAACUACGUGCCAGCAGCCGCGGUAAUACGUAGGUCCCGAGCGUUGUCCGGAUUUAUUGGGCGUAAAGCGAGCGCAGGCGGUUUGAUAAGUCUGAAGUUAAAGGCUGUGGCUCAACCAUAGUUCGCUUUGGAAACUGUCAAACUUGAGUGCAGAAGGGGAGAGUGGAAUUCCAUGUGUAGCGGUGAAAUGCGUAGAUAUAUGGAUGAACACCGGUGGCGAAAGCGGCUCUCUGGUCUGUAACUGACGCUGAGGCUCGAAAGCGUGGGGAGCGAACAGGAUUAGAUACCCUGGUAGUCCACGCCGUAAACGAUGAGUGCUAGGUGUUGGAUCCUUUCCGGGAUUCAGUGCCGCAGCUAACGCAUUAAGCACUCCGCCUGGGGAGUACGACCGCAAGGUUGAAACUCAAAGGAAUUGACGGGGGCCCGCACAAGCGGUGGAGCAUGUGGUUUAAUUCGAAGCAACGCGAAGAACCUUACCAGGUCUUGACAUCCCGAUGCUAUUUCUAGAGAUAGAAAGUUACUUCGGUACAUCGGUGACAGGUGGUGCAUGGUUGUCGUCAGCUCGUGUCGUGAGAUGUUGGGUUAAGUCCCGCAACGAGCGCAACCCCUAUUGUUAGUUGCCAUCAUUCAGUUGGGCACUCUAGCGAGACUGCCGGUAAUAAACCGGAGGAAGGUGGGGAUGACGUCAAAUCAUCAUGCCCCUUAUGACCUGGGCUACACACGUGCUACAAUGGUUGGUACAACGAGUUGCGAGUCGGUGACGACGGGCUAAUCUCUUAAAGCCAAUCUCAGUUCGGAUUGUAGGCUGCAACUCGCCUACAUGAAGUCGGAAUCGCUAGUAAUCGCGGAUCAGCACGCCGCGGUGAAUACGUUCCCGGGCCU